rnacentral:misc_RNA from 1 species
GGACAAUAAAAGCAAAGUAGAUAUAGAAGAAUCAAAUGCGUGCAAAGGGUUAAUUUAAGAUCAAAAGCAUGAGACAUGGAUCAAAUUUUGGCACAUAAUUUAAAAAUCACAUUGCCCGAAGGAGAUUUAAAGUGAAAUAAAACAAACAUAACACCAAGAUCAGCUUUCACAAAGUUUUCUUUUUUGUCAAUUUUAUUAUAUGCUUACAUGCAUAAUUAAAAGGCAAAAUGAGAGAUAAG